rnacentral:rRNA from 1 species
UACGAAGGGUGCAAACGUUGCUCGGAAUUAUUGGGCGUAAAGCGCACGUAGGCGGCUUUGCAAGUCCCAUGUGAAAUCCCACGGCUCAACCGUGGAAGUGCAUGGGAAACUGCAGAGCUUGAGUACUUAAGAGGAUCGCGGAAUUCCCGGUGUAGAGGUGAAAUUCGUAGAUAUUCGCAAGAACACCAGUGGCGAAGGCGGCUCACUGGCCCGGUACUGACGCUGAGGUGCGAAAGCGUGGGGAGCA